GUCAACAACAUUCAUUUUUCUAUACGUUGAAACGCGACGAUAGAGUACAGUAAUGAGCAGAUUAGAGCGGGUCGUGGGAGGAAACGAGGAGAUUCUCAGCUGGUCGGUAAAUAAGAUAUAAAAACGCGACGGUUCAUCGAUCGAUCCGGACGGAUCGCUUAAGGCGAAGGAGGUGUGGCAUUAAUCUGUGAUCACCGGGAUAUCACCUGAGGUAUUUAUCCGAGAUUUUCCCUAAUUGCUCGGCAUUACCUCCUCGCGUUCUCAGCCGAUAGUCCAGUCGAUCGCUGCCGACGCUGCGCGCUGAACACGUCGCAUAGAUCGCCGGUGGGAAAAUUCGUCUUCUUCGUAAAUAUACGUGUCGCGGCUGUGUGUGCGCGCGUCUAUGUACACGCGUACACGCCUGUGUGUCCGUUCACCACGUAAUCGUCGGGAUAUGUCGGGAACAUGAAUGUACAUGUUCGUCGAACCACAGUAACGGCACAACUACGUAGAGUUGCAACUUUUUUGAUGUCAGUGGUCAUCGGUCACGUGACUGUCAGCCAUGUUGUGGAUUGUACGGGCGCUGAAUUUGAACAUCAAGAGACGUAGUGUUUCGCGUAAAAUAGCUGUCAAAUUCAGAAUGAAAUCCUAUAUAUAAUUUUAUAGAAUAUAGAACUGUAUAUAUUAAUGUCGAUACAUUUCGCUAUUCUUCGGAAAUCAAAAGAAACUUAUUGCAUUUUCUCCCCGUUCACAAAUAUUUUUGCAUGUAACAAACGUACAUACGAGAUACCACCUCUUGUAUUCAUUUUAUAUUACGAUUAUAACAUAAAUAUUUUUAAAUGUGUCAUACACUCAGCUGUGCUGUCUCACUCGCCGGUAUCAUUAUGACAGUCCGCCAUAUUCUUGGUUGCACAGUCAACGCACGCGCAGAAGAAAAUCGAACCCUCAAUUUCCCAGCACUGUCGCAACCGUGUGUAGUUGAACUGUGGUAACAGCAUGAUUUCCUUCUUCCGAAAGAAACUUGUAUCAAGAUGUCGGGAGUUUAGAAAUAGUUUAAUUACCUCUGCAUUUCCGGGCCAUUCGACAUUCCCUUGGAAUGCGUUCGUGUAUCUUUACUCCAUGCAUUGAUUUAGCGUCUAAUUCCAAACUUGUCCGUCUCCAAAACUCUUAUAACCUUUAUCGGACGUUAGCUUUUUAUGCGUGACUCUCGCUAGAUUCUAGCUGGUUUCGGUAAA